rnacentral:rRNA from 1 species
UACGAAGGGGGCUAGCGUUGCUCGGAAUUACUGGGCGUAAAGGGCGCGUAGGCGGCUCAUACAGUCAGGCGUGAAAUUCCUGGGCUCAACCUGGGGGCUGCGCUUGAGACGUGUGGGCUUGAGGACAGGAGAGGCUCGUGGAAUUCCCAGUGUAGAGGUGAAAUUCGUAGAGAUCAGGAAGAACAUCGGUGGCGAAGGCGCUCUGCUGGACCAUAACUGACACUCAGGGACGAAAGCUAGGGGAGCGAAUGGG